UAGAGGGAGGAGCAGUGAAAUCUAUCCUUCAGUCUAUACAUAUUUAUUAAGUGCCUACUCUGGUGCUAGGCAGGUCCAAAGAGAUGGGCCUGGGACAUCUAUCUCUUCAGAGGCAGGAGGAAGAGGGGAGUUGAGGAAUCCUGUCUCAUACCCACUGUGGCCACUGUCUCUGACUGGACUGGAAGCUCCGGGAGGGCAGGGACUGCAUGGAUCUUGUCCACCAAGGUAUUCCUAUGACUUAGCACAGCGCCUGGAGUGUAUUAGUUGCUCAAGGAAAUCUUGGCUCCUGCUGUGGAGAAACUCCUCAGGACUUCUGGGCGACAGUAAGUCAGCAAAGAGUCGUGACGAUCAGCUGCUCCUGAGCCAGGCAGCUUUGCAUAUUCUUCAGUGAUAUAACCAGGACCAUAUAACCACCUGGAGAGCACAUGUCUAGAAUCAUGAUGUACCAACAGUCACAAAUCAAGUCCACGGCACACUUACACUGGGGAAUACCAUGCAGCAAUUUAAAAGAAUAAGGUGCCUGUCAGUAUUCUCAGGGAAGCUGAAGAGAGCAGGGCUACGUCCAUGAUGCUGUGCCCAUGAUGCCAUGCUGCGCCCGUGAUGCUGUGCCUGUGAUGCCGUGCUGUGCCCAUGAUGCUGUGCUGCACCCGUGAUGCUGUGUCCAUGAUGCCGUGCUGCGCCCGUGAUGCUGUGCCCGUGAUGCCGUGCUGCGCCCAUGAUGCCGUGCUGCGCCCAAGAUGCUGUGCCCAUGAUGCUGUGCUGUGCCCUCUAUACCUUCCCAUGCCUGAAGCCAUGCCCUUUCCCUGGGAUUCUGCAGUUCUGGCUGCUCUAGGAGCCGAGGAGUUUCCACCCCAUAUAAAAGACUCCUGGGGUGGCCUACUGACCUGGAUUCUCCUCUCAGUAUCCUGACUCCAACUGCCUCUGCUGCCAAACUACACGUGGCCCAGAUGAUUUCUCCUGCAAAUGGAAGAGGGAAUCAGAGCAUCUCACAGUCAGGGCAGAGGCCCCGGGGACACGCCCAUCCGAGGCAUGUUUGAGAUGGCGGAUCCAGUCCAAGCCCAUCGUUGCGCAGACUGGAAAUCUGAUUCUCAGAGUGGAGAAGAGAUUUAUCCAAAUAUCCUCCCUGAGCUAACAUCCAUGCCAAUCCUCCUCUUUUUGCUGAAGAAGACUGGCCCUGAGCUAACAUCUGUGCCCAUCUUCCUCCACUUUAUCUGGGACGCCGCCACAGUAUGGCCUGACAAGCGGUGCAUGGGUGCACGCCCGGGAUCCAAACCUGAGCCACCAGCAGCAGAGCGCGCGCACUUAACUGCUACGCCACGGGGCCAGCCCCACUAACAUACAUACUUUACAUGUACAUUUGUGCAUAUGGCUAUAAUCAUUUUGUAAACAUUUUUAUAACCUUGUUUCACUUAAUGUUAUACAUGUUUCCCUGAACGUUUUCCAUGUAGCCUUCUACCUUCUGCAGAAUAUUUCAUCAAGAAA